UGGAUCUGCCUCAGUCCUGACACACAGCAGCUCGGGAAAUAGUCUAAAACGCCCAGAUACCACAGAAUCACUUAAUUCUUCCUUGUCCAAUGGAACAAGUGAUGCUGACCUGUUUGAUUCACAUGAUGACAGAGAUGAUGAUGCGGAGGCAGGGUCUGUGGAGGAGCACAAGAGCGUUAUCAUGCAUCUCUUGUCGCAGGUUAGACUUGGAAUGGAUCUUACUAAGGUAGUUCUUCCAACGUUUAUUCUUGAAAGAAGAUCUCUUUUAGAAAUGUAUGCAGACUUUUUUGCACAUCCGGACCUGUUUGUGAGCAUUAGUGACCAGAAGGAUCCCAAGGAUCGAAUGGUUCAGGUUGUGAAAUGGUACCUCUCAGCCUUUCAUGCGGGAAGGAAAGGAUCAGUUGCCAAAAAGCCAUACAAUCCCAUUUUGGGCGAGAUUUUUCAGUGUCAUUGGACAUUACCAAAUGAUACUGAAGAGAACACAGAUCUCAUUUUUGUUUUGAGAAGAUCAAUAGAAUGAUUUUGUGAAAAAUAAAUUGAGAAGGGGCAAAUAUAGAAGCAUGAA
rnacentral:lncRNA from 10 species